rnacentral:misc_RNA from 1 species
GAGUUGUUUUGGACUUGCUUUUCAUGGCGGAUUCCCUGCGCUUUGGUGCGGCCAACCGUUGUGAAGCUGUCUUUUCACUGUUCCUCCCGACGUUCUAUUUUGUACUCGGGAGGGAUUUUUUGCUGUGGGUGGUCUGUGUGGUUCUACCCUUGUGCGGAACAAAAGUCGGUUUCAUGGCGGGCUUAUGCCUGCGUCGUCGAUGCUUGCCGUCGUGGGCGCGGCUGAUUUGUUGGCGUGACGCUUGUGCGGCUGUGGGCACAACGGCUCUAGUAUCGCACAAGCGUUUCGUCGGCUCUCAUGGAUGCGGUGCUCAUUGUGGAAUCCACGGCCUUUGGGCGGUGGAUUGCUUCGGGAUGCCCCAUGCAGGGAUGUCGACGUGGUAGGCGUUUUGCUGGAAGCGACGUUCCCGCGUGCAUGCGAGAUGUUUGUCCGAUCGGAAGAGCGAUUGCCGGAUGUCGUUGUGGUAGGCGUUUCGCUGGAAGUGACGUGCCGGCUCUCGUUGAAGACGUGCUACCUGGUUGAUCCUGCCA